rnacentral:tRNA from 1 species
GUUUGUAGCUCAGUGGUAGAGCACUUGCCUAGCACAUGUAAGGCCCUGGGUUCAAAACUCAGCACCACA